rnacentral:lncRNA from 1 species
GAGCCAUUAUGGGCAGACUUGAGUUAUCCUGCAAGACAAACAGGUUUAAGAACAUAAAGAAGCUCUUAGUUGAUUUGAAACUUGUGGAGCUUGAGAUGCAAGUAGAAGAUACGUAGGAAGAUAGGCAUGUCUUGCAAAAGGCAAGUGCGGAGCUGGAGUUAAGAGACACACUUGAAACUUUUAUUGGAAUGAGUACAUGGAAACCCAAGAGAUAGCGUUCGACUAUCUGGAGCUUUUUACCCACACAUUCUUUACAUGUGCCAAAUCCAUUUUAGUUUUACAUAUGGCCCCCCUGGAAUAGUGAAGUGGUGACAGAU